UGUCACCAGUGUUGUGGGACCACCAACUGCCCUUGGGACAUUUGUUCAGUGUCUACAGGUCACAUCCACAGCCAUGUUGCAACUACUGAGGAUUCACCAAUCCCACCCUCCCUCACCAAGCAGGAGCAGCAGAUAAACAAGGUGGAGAAACUGAUCCUUCAGCUUCAGAGGAUGACCAAAGAGAGGAAUGAACUGUGUGUAAUCCUGGCCCAUUAUAGCAACAGUGAUUUGAACAACAUGUAGUCAUUAGGCCCA